AGAAUCAACGCUGGCGGCGUGCCUAACACAUGCAAGCCGCACGAGAAAGGGUAGCAAUACCUGAGUACAGUGGCGCACGGGUGAGUAACACGUGAAUAAUCUACCUCCGAGUGGGGAAUAACUGAGAGAAAUCUUAGCUAAUACCGCAUAAUACCCACGGGUCAAAGCAGCAAUGCGCUUGGAGAGGAGUUCGCGGCAGAUUAGUUAGUUGGCGGGGUAAUGGCCCACCAAGACGAUGAUCUGUA
rnacentral:rRNA from 1 species